rnacentral:misc_RNA from 1 species
UUACUUUGUGCAGGGGCGCCGCAAGCCUCCGCAAGAGGCGAAAGGAAACCGGGCGCACAGAAGAACAGCACUCGUGACGUGCGUGUGGCUGUAUGUUCACCGAGCCCUUUGCGCUUCGCGUUAUCUCACGGCAGAUAGAAAAAGGCGUGCCGAGGUGCGCGAAUCCUCGUGUCGCACGAUGCGACUCACGCCACUCCGAUGCUCAGCAGCGGCCUUUAACUUCACCUCACUGCUCCUCCAAGGCAGCGGCGGUGGCUACCGUUUCUUCGAAGAUAUGUACCCAAAGCACGACCCCGCCCCGCGAUACAGGUACUACGAGGACCAGAUGCAGAGCCCCACGGUACGGUCGCUGGAGCCCAAGAAGCAAAUGACGGAGACGGAGAAGCUGCACCAUCUGCACGACUGGAAGAAGGACAAGGAGGGGCUCACCCCACCACCGGAGUUCGGCUGGCCAGAGGAGUGGGGCCCGGAGCCGGGGGAGGAGGGGCACAGUGAAUGGUACAGGAAGAACCGCAUGUACAUGUCAUAUGAGGAGAAGUCCCGCUACGACCUGCGCGUCGGUGUGCCGGUGGAGAAGAACUCGAUGCGGCACCAGGAGAUGCCGUACCAGAAGCGCAUGAAGGCCGCCUACGUGAAUUUGGAAGAGAAGAACCCGCAAUACUUCGACCCCCGCCAGCGCAAGUACUGGGCCGAGUACUCGUACGAGGAUCAGCGCGACACGAUGGCCAAAGCGCGUGAUGACUACAUCACGGAGUGGCUCGACGAGCCAGGGGUAACCAAGGAGAACGUGGCCAAGAAGAUCGGCGACUACAACGGGACGGCAAAGAACCAAAACGUGAAGUCGGUGCAGCGGCGGCCAGAGUGGGAGCUGGCGCCGCGGCCCGAGUACGAUGACGAUUGAAAGAGGCGAAGAGGGCACAGAGAUGUCCACUCAUGCACCUCCCCCCCCCCCUCCCGCUCCUCUUUCGUGCUCCGUGUCUGAGCUUCACGUGAUUGGGGCUGCUGCUGAUGGCAAGGGUGGGGGUGGGGACCAAUGAACGGACAGUGAUGCAUACUGGUACUGCUGUCGUUGUUGUCUUCCUUUGGUAUGUGUUAGGGAGGUCGCACUGUUUCACUUGAUGUCGGCAGCGCACGCUGGCUGCAUUACAACGAUACGUGUAUAUACCGGCGCGCACACACACACACACGAAGCGCGCCUACUCCCUUUCUCUCUGUGCCCCUCGUGUGUGUGGCACGUGGAUCUUGUCCCGCUUAUCCACUUUUCUAUC